rnacentral:rRNA from 1 species
CCUACGGGAGGCAGCAGUGAGGAAUAUUGGUCAAUGGUCGGGAGACUGAACCAGCCAAGCCGCGUGAGGGAGGAAGGUACAGAGUAUCGUAAACCUCUUUUGUCAGGGAACAAAGGCGGGGACGUGUCCCCGGAUGAGUGUACCUGAAGAAAAAGCAUCGGCUAACUCCGUGCCAGCGGCCGCGGUAAUACGGGGGAUGCGGUGGUUAUCCGGAUUUCUUGGGGUUAAAGGGUGCGCAGGGGGGCUGUGAAGUCAGCGGGCAAAGCCCGGGGCUGAACCCCGGCCCGCGGUUGAACCUGGCAGGCUCGAGUGGGAGAGAGGUAUGCGGAAGGCGCGGUGUAGCGGUGAAAUGCGUAG